rnacentral:rRNA from 1 species
UACGUAGGGUGCAAGCGUUGUCCGGAAUUAUUGGGCGUAAAGAGCUCGUAGGCGGUCUGUCGCGUCGGCUGUGAAAACUCGAGGCUCAACCUCGAGACGCCGAUGGAAACCAUCUGGCUAGAGUCCGGAAGAGGAGAGUGGAAUUCCUGGUGUAGCGGUGAAAUGCGCAGAUAUCAGGAAGAACACCCGUGGCUAAGGCGGCUCUCUAGUACGGUACUGACGCUGAGACGCGAAAGCGUGGGGAGCGAACAGG